GGCCGGUUAGCUCAGUUGGUUAGAGCGUCGUGCUAAUAACGCGAAUGUCGCGGGUUCGAUCCACGUA
rfam:Ciona savignyi cont_35210, whole genome shotgun sequence.